GGUUAAAACAUACUGAAAACAGUAGUUCUCAUUCAAUCACCAAAGUUAAGCAUCAUUGAGCCCAGUCAGUAGUUAAAUGGGUGAUCACUUGGGAACACCAGGUA